rnacentral:lncRNA from 1 species
UUUUUGGUGUUUUUUUCCAUGGAAUGUUUUUGGUAUUUGGUCAAACAUAUAACUAUGUUAACCUCUUCAAUUUCUAAAACAUUUUAAGAGGUAAGCUCUUGAUGAUUCAGAAAUACAUGCCUCCGCUCGCAAAACUUCAAACUGCAUUAUCUCUAAAACGACAAUAGAUAUCUCAAAUCUGUUAAAUGAUUAAUGAUCUACAGUUAAAGGACAACAUUAUAGAAAAAGAAUUGGGACAAUUUCAAAGUUCACCAAGG